rnacentral:tRNA from 1 species
UAACUUUUAGUUAAUAAAUAACAUUAUUUUGUCAAAAUAAAAUUGCUUUUAGCAAAGUUAA